rfam:Triticum urartu cultivar G1812 contig896744, whole genome shotgun sequence.
UAUAUAUUAUCUCCGUCCCAAACUAGUUGUCUUUGAUGUGUCAAGAUACGGAUGUACCUAUAACACUAAAGCGUGUCUAGAUAUAUCUGUAUCUAGAUAAAUCUAAGACAACUAAUUCGGAACGGAGGGAGUACAUG